UACAGUAGAAUCAGAGUUCUAAUUUUUUUUUUUUCUUCAGCUAAGACAGCAAAAGAGAUGAUUUAUUGUACACGUUACAUUCAGCCACAACUGAGAAGAGAACUAGUCCAUAGUUAUCACAGGUCCAGGGCAAAGGAUCAAAAGGGACGGCUUUGAUAGGAGCAAGGUAGGUCUCUCAAAGGUGGUCAAGGCGAUCAGAAUGGCCAUAGAUGUUCCAGAUCCAUUGAGAAGUUCUAGAUAGUAGUAGGAAUGCAGUCCACAAUUUGUACCAGCGUCCCUGGCCUCUGGCUUCCCUUGUCUCUGCUUCUGUGGCUUCCAUGGGUGUACAGGUUUACGUGGACCUCUGCCUCAUCUUUCUUCUUCCGCGCUUCAGCCUGCGCAUUCGCUUCUUCCUCCACUUCGCUCUCAUGGCGUAGAGGUUUCUCAAAAGAUGGCGCUAAGGCCGAGAGCGAAUCAGAGUUCUAAUAUUAGGUUUUAGACCUCAAAUUCUAACUCAUUACUUUUCUUCUGCAAUAUAACAUCUUUAUUAAAAGUGCUUAGGGUUCCAGCGGAAGGCGGUAUAAAAGGCAGGCUUGGUACCUUGAGACGUACACCUAAGGACACUCCAGGGCGAAUAUGGACAGGAGAAAGAAGCCCUUGGACGUCACGGCGUCCUCGUUGGUAGACCUUAAGGCUGAACUCUUCCGAAAACAAGAAGAAUUCUAACAAGAAAAACUUCUAAAAGAUGCUGGAGUUUUGGGAAAACCAAAACCAACUAACAAGAAACCAAGUAUCUGGAGCAAACAGAAUGCAGGAGUCUCUAACCGAGCUGAAAAGGAUGCUGAAGAGCAGAUUGCAGAACAGAAAACUCUGGACAAAGCGAGGGAGAAAUUGGAAGAAAAAGCCAAAUUGUAUGAGAAAAUGACUAAAGGAGACUUUAUAGAUGAAGAGGUGGAGGACAUGUACCUUGUGGAUUUCACACAGAAGAUGAUAGACAGACACAAAGAAAUGGAAGCGGUUGGUGCCAAUAGAGAUUACAGAAAGACUGAAGAAAGAGACGGUGAUGAAGCAGCUCUUUCUGAAAAAGAUAUUCCUCCUCCCCAGGAUCCCAGUGAAGAGUGGGUGGAUUAUGCGGAUUCUUUAGGGCGAUCCCGGCGCUGUAUGAGAAAGGAUUUGCCAGAUCUGCUGGAAAUGGAUAAAAAUCUUCAGGGGAGGCUUUUCGUUAGUCCUGCAAAUGAGAAAACCUUACUGUCUGAAGAUAUGAGAAAAGAACUCCAGCGCCAGCAGUGGGAGGAAAAGGAGAGGGAGGCCCUGAGAAGGCCAGUGGGGCCCGUACAUUAUGAAGACAUCCGUGAAAAUGAGGCCCGGCAACUUGGUGUUGGAUACUUUGCUUUCGCCCGAGAUAAAGAGUUGAGAAACAAGCAGAUGAAAACCUUAGAAAUGCUGUGUGAACAGACAACAGAUCAGAGAACAAAACGAGAAAACACAAAGGAAAAGAGAAAAGCCAUAUUAGAAGCAAGACUUGCUAAACUCCGACAGAAAAAGAUGAAAAAAUCAAAAGAAGAUGGAGCAGAGGAAGAAAACAGAGAUGGAGAUGUUAUUGGCCCUUUGCCCCCAGAACCAGAGGUCAGGCCAGCUCCUUGUACAGCCGCCUAGAGUAGCAAAGUAGAAGUCAUCGUUCAGGAGAGGAAAGAUACCAGACCUGGGGUGCCACACGUCUGCGAGUGGGACAGAGGAAAAGACUUUUCCUUUGGGUAGUGGUCGAAGAGGCAGUCAGAUCUCCGGGCUGAGAGAGACCCUGAGUUUGCGCCACCAUCGUAUUACUUUGUGGACCAAAAGAGAACUGAGUCUCUGAGCAGCCAGGCGUGGACCCGACCUGCCCCUGCACAGAGGGAUCCGGGGCAGCACUCUGGCCAGAGCCAUGACCCCUGCGUGUCACAGACAUCAUCUGCUCCUGCCCCCAGCAGCCCGCCACAAGCCCUGACGGUCACUUUUGAAACUCUGGAUGAUAUGAUAUCAUAUUAUAAACAAGUAACAUGAACUUAAAAACAUUAAAAAAAAAGUGCUUAGAUGCAUGACUUUUGCUUUAAAGUUUACACUUUAAAUAUGUGAAUUUAGUUCAUCAUAUUUAAUAAAUGCGCAAUGCAACACAUUUUUAAAAAAUUAAUGGACUUUACUUUUUAGAGCAGUUUUACAGAAAAAUUGAACAGAAAGUAGAGAGGGUGCCUCUAUAUCUCUCCUCAACUCACUUCCUCUGUUAUUAACAUCUUGCAUUACUGUGAUACAUUCGCUGCAAUUGAUGGGCCAGUGUUGAUACAUUUUUAUUAACUAAAGCCUAUGGUUUACAUUCCCUGUAGAAGGAAAUGGCACCCCACUCCAGUACUCUUGCCUGGAGAAUCCCAUGGAGAGAGAAGCCUGGCGGGCUACAGUCCAUGGGGUCACAAAGAGUCAGACACGACUGAGCGCCUUCGCACACAGACCAUUAAAAUACCGCUCCCUGCUGCCCUCCCCGACCACAGUGUGUGCUUUGCCCAAUAUUUUUAAAGUGUUGAUUCCUAAACAUGAGUGCAUUUUAAAUUUAAACUUGGUGAUUCACUUUUAAUUAUAGUCUAUGAAGUAUUUUUCAAAUAAAUACUGAGUCAAAUAAGGACUCAUGAUGAGAAAGUUUUGUUUGCCUUUGUAAUUUGUAAAUAAACAAUUGGACUGAUUUUAAGUGAAUCAAGUCAAUUAUAAAAAUUAAGAAAUUGAAAUUAAAUAAAACCACUCCAAACCUGCUAUU